AUGUCAGGCAUUGCAGCACCGAUGCUUGAAGCACUACCAAGUGCGAAGUUACCAUUCAGCAUCUCCACCGAGCUUGUGUUGUUGUUGUUGUUGUUGUUGUUGUUGUUGUUGUUGAUUGCGAAGUUACCAUUCGGCAUCUCCACCGAGCUCAUGUUGCUGUUGAUUGCAAAGUUACCAUUCGCCAUCCCGACCGAGCUCAUACUGUUGUUGAUUGCGAAGUUACCAUUCGGCAUCUCCACCGAGCUUAUGUUGUUGUUGAUUGAUAAAUCCUGCAGUCAGAAAACAAGUUUAGUUAGAUGCAACCUUAUCGAACUUCGUACUGCCAGUACAUUUUUAUAUGUGCAAAGCCUGAAAAACUUAGAGACAAGAUAG
rnacentral:rRNA from 1 species